AUAUACUGUACAGAGGUUGGAACCAACCCCGUCUGAAUGACAGAUAUACUGUACAGAGGUUGGAACCAACCCCCUCUGAAUGACAGAUAUACUGUACAGAGGUUGGAACCAACCCCGUCUGAAUGACAGAUAUACUGUACAGAGGUUGGAACCAACCCCGUCUGAAUGACAGAUAUACUGUACAGAGGUUGGAACCAACCCCGUCUGAAUGACAGAUAUACUGUACAGAGGUUGGAACCAACCCCGUCUGAAUGACAGAUAUACUGUACAGAGGUUGGAACCAACCCCGUCUGAAUGACAGAUAUACUGUACAGAGGUUGGAACCAACCCCGUCUGAAUGACAGAUAUACUGUACAGAGGUUGGAACCAACCCCGUCUGAAUGACAGAUAUACUGUACAGAGGUUGGAACCAACCCCGUCUGAAUGACAGAUAUACUGUACAGAGGUUGGAACCAACCCCGUCUGAAUGACAGAUAUACUGUACAGAGGUUGGAACCAACCCCGUCUGAAUGACAGAUAUACUGUACAGAGGUUGGAACCAACCCCGUCUGAAUGACAGAUAUACUGUACAGAGGUUGGAACCAACCCCGUCUGAAUGACAGAUAUACUGUACAGAGGUUGGAACCAACCCCGUCUGAAUGACAGAUAUACUGUACAGAGGUUGGAACCAACCCCGUCUGAAUGACAGAUAUACUGUACAGAGGUUGGAACCAACCCCGUCUGAAUGACAGAUAUACUGUACAGAGGUUGGAACCAACCCCGUCUGAAUGACAGAUAUACUGUACAGAGGUUGGAACCAACCCCGUCUGAAUGACAGAUAUACUGUACAGAGGUUGGAACCAACCCCGUCUGAAUGACAGAUAUACUGUACAGAGGUUGGAACCAACCCCGUCUGAAUGACAGAUAUACUGUACAGAGGUUGGAGACACACUGGGCGCCUGUGGAGCGGUAGUUGUGUGGAGAUUUAGUGCCUUGCUCAAUGGCACGAUGGCAGGCAAUGGCAUUUAGGAUUUGAUACCAUCAAUCCUAUGGUUGCGAGCUCACUGCCCGACAGAUUUUUCCUGUCAGACCCGGGAUUUGAACUGGCAAUCCUCUGGUUGCUGGCCUUCCUCUUUUACUUCUAGGCUACCUGCCACUCCACACAACUAAAUGAUAAAAACACUAGUAUCACAUUCACUGGUCAGUAGCAUGGUGACUAUAUCAACUCUGCUUAUCACAACAUGACUAAGUAGAUAGACUAUAGUCAUAUGGAAUAUUCUUCACUGAACAUGCAAACAGCCUUCUGUAUACAAUGGCGGCAGCUCUGGCCAUCAUGCACCAACGUUAAUAUUUAUGACAGUUUUUUGCCUAUUGAGUCACCUCUCUCCUCUGUCUCCUGAUGUUCUCUCCUCUGUCUCCUGAUGUUCUCUCCUCUGUCUCCUGAUGUUCUCUCCUCUGUCUCCUGAUGUUCUCUCCUCUGUCUCCUGAUGUUCUCUCCUCUGUCUCCUGAUGUUCUCUCCUCUGUCUCCUGAUGUUCUCUCCUCUGUCUCCUGAUGUUGAGUCCUCUGUCUCCUGAUGUUCUCUCCUCUGUCUCCUGAUGUUCUCUCCUCUGUCUCCUGAUGUUCUCUCCUCUGUCUCCUGAUGUUCUCUCCUCUGUCUCCUGAUGUUCUCUCCUCUGUCUCCUGAUGUUCUCUCCUCUGUCUCCUGAUGUUCUCUCCUCUGUCUCCUGAUGUUCUCUCCUCUCUCUCCUGAUGUUGAGACCUCUCUCUCCUCUGUCUCCUGAUGUUCUCUCCUCUGUCUCCUGAUGUUCUCUCCUCUCUCUCCUGAUGUUGAGACCUCUCUCUCCUCUCUCUCCUGAUGUUGAGUCACCUGUCUCCUGAUGUUGAGACACCUCUCUCUCCUGUCUCCUGAUGUUGGGUCCUCUCUCCUCUGUCUCCUGAUGUUGAGUCCUCUGUCUCCUGAUGUUGAGACCUCUCUCUCCUCUGUCUCCUGAUGUUGGGUCCUCUCUCUCCUCUGUCUCCUGAUGUUGAG